rnacentral:lncRNA from 1 species
AUGCUGGCGCAUGUCUUCUGCUGCUUUUGAUCCGGGAGAUUCCACGGGCUACAGGCCAUGGCGGAAAAGUGGUGUUACGAAGCGAAAAUUAUUUGUCUUGGCUUUUGAAUUAUUCCAACAGUGUUGAACGAAGCAAAGCAGAUAAUCAGUCUGUGCUCUGCGGGCUACUUCGUAGAAAAAAUAUAAAACGUUAGGAGUCAUUGUGCACGUUUUGUGAGAACAGAUGUAAGCUCAAGUCUGCGGCGAGACAGGCUGAUUGCUCGAAAAUCGUAAGGUGUGUGUUUGUGCGACUUCAUCGUUCAAAAUGAGCUCAGCCCACGGAGGAAGAAGAAGGCCGCUUACCAGGACAACCUCUUCGUCGGAAGACCAAGCUUUGAAUCAAAUUGCUCGUGAGGCUGAAGCACGUCUUGCCGCUAAGAGAGCAGCCAGAGCUGAGGCGAGAAGUAUUCGUCUGAAAGAGCUUGAACGCCAGCAACAGGAAGGAGAAAAUGUAUGUCCACAUAGCCAACAAUGAGUUUAGUUGCUUUAUUUACAUUAUCUACUGCAGAAAGGUGCUGUAAAUUUGGUCACUCUAGAACCAGUAGUUACAAAGAACGUAGUUUUUGUAAUUAAUAAUGUAAGUAUGCGUGCUGUAAAAAAUAGAUAAUUAAUAAUAAUAAUAA